rnacentral:rRNA from 1 species
AACGAACGCUGGCGGCAUGCCUAACACAUGCAAGUCGAACGAGACCUUCGUGUCUAGUGGCGCACGGGUGCGUAACGCGUGGGAACCUGCCCUUAGGUUCGGAAUAACUCCCCGUAGGGGGUGCUAAUACCGGAUGAUGUCUUCGGACCAAAGAUUUAUCGCCUUUGGCUGGGCCCGCGUUGGAUUAGCUAGUUGGUAGGGUAAAAGCCUACCAAGGCGACGAUCCAUGGCUGGUCUGAGAGGAUGAUAAGCCACACUGGGACUGAGACACGGCCCAGACUCCUACGGGAGGCAGCAGUGGGGAGUAUUGGACAAUGGGCGAAAGCCUGAUCCAGCAAUGCCGCGUGAGUGAUGAAGGCCUUAGGGUUGUAAAGCUCUUUUACCCGGGAUGAUAAUGACAGUACCGGGAGAAUAAGCUCCGGCUAACUCCGUG